GCGCUCGUGGCUCAAUUGGUAGAGCAACUGACUCUUAAUCAGUGGGUUGAAGGUUCGAGUCCUUCCGAGCGCACCA
rnacentral:tRNA from 3 species